rnacentral:rRNA from 1 species
UACGUAGGGGCAAGCGUUGUCCGGAUUAUUGGGCGUAAAGGGUGCGUAGGUGGUCGGGUAAGUCCGAUGUGAAAUCUCCAGGCUCAACCUGGAAAUGGCAUUGGAUACUAUUCGGCUUGAGGAGUGGAGGGGGACUGGAAUUCUCGGUGUAGCAGUGAAAUGCGUGAGAUAUCGAGAGGAACACCAGUGGCGAAGGCGAGUCCCUGGACACUUCCUGACACUGAGGCACGAAAGCUAGGGAGCAAACAGG